CCUUUCGUAGCUCAGUUGUUAGAGCACUGGCGCGUGAAGCUAAAGGACCCGGGUUCGUUUCCCGGCGAGGGCG
rnacentral:tRNA from 1 species